rnacentral:rRNA from 1 species
AUGGAUGGACUUCUACAUUGGGAUUUCUUGCCUGGCCUUGCGGUUGCAGCUCAGGUGCGUCGUUGUUUUGGUUCCCAUGUCCAUUUCUCCCCAUCUGGAUAGACCAAAGAGUUCUUGGUUGUGUACUUCUCUUUCGCUUCCUUCCCUCUCACUGAAGAAUCAGUGGCCAUUGCUCUACAAUGUUGCAUUGGUGGAACCCCUUCUGGACUCAAUGUCCAACACCUUGAGGGGAGGCAUUAUCCUUUUUUUUGCUUCCAAUCGGGUGGGACACUUCAUCUAUGA